AUUUUCUGUUACAAAUGCAUAUAUAUGGUUGCUUUUUGUAGUUUUCAGAGUUUUUCAUGUGUAUUUUAAGAUAUCUUUGGCAUUUUACUUCAUCUUUAUUACAUUUUCCAAGGAGAAAUUUUUAGACAUGGCAAUGUGAAAGUCCACUUUUAGAUUGUUUCUCAAUUAAAGACUAAGUGUAUGAGUCUUUUGCAUUGUAGGACUUAUUUUCUCUAUUGUUAAAUGCCUAUUCUGUUUUUUUUUCCCCCCCUGCAGGGUUCUUGCUCUCGAA
rnacentral:misc_RNA from 1 species